UACGUAGGGGGCAAGCGUUGUCCGGAAUCAUUGGGCGUAAAGAGCGUGUAGGCGGCCCGGUAAGUCCGCUGUGAAAGUCCAGGGCUCAACCCUGGGAUGCCGGUGGAUACUGUCGGGCUCGAGUCCGGAAGAGGAGUGUGGAAUUCCUGGUGUAGCGGUGAAAUGCGCAGAUAUCAGGAGGAACACCAAUGGCGAAGGCAGCACUCUGGGACGUGACUGACGCUGAGACGCGAAAGCGUGGGGAGC
rnacentral:rRNA from 1 species